CGUGUGGACAUUAUAGAGGCAACGUGGCCAGGAUAGACUGGGAUUAAAACUAGGAUGUCGUGAUGCCAAGCAAGCACCUCACCAUUGAGCUACAUCUGCAGCCUGGGAUUUCUUAUCUGUCUAAAUGUAGGAAUACCCAACACAAGAAGGCAACAUACAUAUUGACAUAGAAGCACACCAUGAGCAGUAGAUUGCAUCCCUAACACCAUGAUUAAUCAAGGGCAAACAGAACCCUACCCAGAGGUGAGACGUGUUCCUAGUCUGGGCGGUCGGUAAUUCUCCUUCACUCCUGCAGCCCGGUUGCUAGAAGAAAUGAGAGUCAGCAUGGACAAAGCCAGCAGGGAACGAGGGGCACAACCAGUAUCUGCAGCAAGUACCAAACCCGGAGCCCCAUCCACAAAACUCAAUUAGGAACAAUUGGUUGUGCUGAGUGAGGUCAGCUCCAACCGGGGCCCAUGAGCUGAGCUG